rnacentral:rRNA from 1 species
UAGGGAAUCUUCCACAAUGGACGCAAGUCUGAUGGAGCAACGCCGCGUGAGUGAAGAAGGUCUUCGGAUCGUAAAACUCUGUUGUUAGAGAAGAACACGAGUGAGAGUAACUGUUCAUUCGAUGACGGUAUCUAACCAGCAAGUCACGGCUAACUACGUGCCAGCAGCCGCGGUAAUACGUAGGUGGCAAGCGUUGUCCGGAUUUAUUGGGCGUAAAGGGAACGCAGGCGGUCUUUUAAGUCUGAUGUGAAAGCCUUCGGCUUAACCGGAGUAGUGCAUUGGAAACUGGAAGACUUGAGUGCAGAAGAGGAGAGUGGAACUCCAUGUGUAGCGGUGAAAUGCGUAGAUAUAUGGAAGAACACCAGUGGCGAAAGCGGCUCUCUGGUCUGUAACUGACGCUGAGGUUCGAAAGCGUGGGUAGCAAACAGGAUUAGAUACCCUGGUAGUCCACGCCGUAAACGAUGAAUGCUAGGUGUUGGAGGGUUUCCGCCCUUCAGUGCCGCAGCUAACGCAAUAAGCAUUCCGCCUGGGGAGUACGACCGCAAGGUUG